GUGGGGAAUUUUGGACAAUGGGCGCAAGCCUGAUCCAGCAAUGCCGCGUGCAGGAAGAAGGCCUUCGGGUUGUAAACUGCUUUUGUACGGAACGAAACGGUCCUGGUUAAUACCUGGGGCUAAUGACGGUACCGUAAGAAUAAGCACCGGCUAACUACGUGCCAGCAGCCGCGGUAAUACGUAGGGUGCAAGCGUUAAUCGGAAUUACUGGGCGUAAAGCGUGCGCAGGCGGUUUUGUAAGACAGGCGUGAAAUCCCCGGGCUCAACCUGGGAAUUGCGCUUGUGACUGCAAGGCUGGAGUGCGGCAGAGGGGGAUGGAAUUCCGCGUGUAGCAGUGAAAUGCGUAGAUAUGCGGAGGAACACCGAUGGCGAAGGCAAUCCCCUGGGCCUGCACUGACGCUCAUGCACGAAAGCGUGGGGAGCAAACAGGAUUAGAAACCCGUGUAGUCC
rnacentral:rRNA from 1 species